GGAAGGAAGGAAGGAAGGAAGGAAGGAAGGAAGGAAGGAAGGAAGGGAGGUUGGCCAGUGUGAGAGUAGGAAAAUAUUUGCUUUAAUCCAUCCCCUCUUCGGUAAUUAUUUUCCUGAUGGUAUUUUGUUUUCAAUGAAGAUGUUUAAAAAAGCAACUAUCAAGGUGAAAGUUGAGGCAAUGUAGUAUCUUGACUUCAGGCAGAAGAGUCUGGAAGCCAGGAGGUAGGAAGAACAGGUUCCCGCCAAUGAGAAGCCAUUUGUCUCCAGGCUCAGAACAAAUGCUGUAGGGUUAAAGGUUCAAGAGAAGAAGUAUGCUGUAGGUCCAGCAUGUGAGGGAAUUACAUCUGUUGGAACCCGGGAGAGAUGCCAUUUCACCCUUCCCCCUGAGUUGAGACUGGCCCCAUCUUUGACCUCCUUCCAAAAGUCCUACGAAGCAUGAUUGUAUCAACAGGCUUGAAGAUCUCAAAGUAAUGUGGAAUUAGUGAGGAGGCUGCAUUGCCUUUUCCAUCAAAUUCUCUCCGAUCUGUUAAUAGCACAUACUGUUGUUUGUUUUUCAUGGUGUGCCACCCAGAGCCACAUCUUGUGAUACAGGCAGCUAUAUACAGUAAAUAUGAAUAAAUAAACGGCUUGCAUGUU